GUGUGUGUGUGUGUGUGUGUAUGUGCAUAUGGUGCGUAUGUGCACGCGCGUUUACAGCAUCGGCUCGAAGAGGUCGGCAAACAAAAACACAGGGUGGUAAAAGGGUAAAAGGGGUAAAAGUAAGGCUCAGCCGUUAACUUUUGCUAUCGCUAACGUACACUAGAUGGCGCUACGGUCGCAGCCACCACCGAGUGACCCAAGUUACAUUAUUUCGAAUGUCAAAAACAAAGCAAUCAGCUGAUGAUAUAUUUACAUUUUGUGUUGAGAUUUCGUUCCAGUGCGUGAAAUCAAAAAGCAAAUUGUGUGUAAUUUAAAUUGAGCUUCCGUUUGAUAUUUUCAUUAACGAUGGUAAGUAGACACUCAUGUUCGAAAAGACAACUUUGUGUUCGUUAUAGAUGUUGACGCAUUACGGCGGAGUGGUACGGAGCAAAGGCAAAGGCGACCAGACAACCAAAUAUGUUUUUAGCUUUCCUCUGGACCAUUGAUGGAAAGAGAAAAAGCUGCAUCAUUCCAUCGGAAACAAGGUAAGAUUAUAACGAUGACGAUGACGACGACAACGACGAAUAGAUGCGUGAAUAAUCAGUCUAGCAACGGUUUCAUCCACAAAUUAGAGUGUCAGGAAAGCAAUUUUAUAGCAUUAGCAUAAUUAUACAGUGUAUUAGCUGCAGAAUAGAAUAGCUACAGGUAGCGUUAAUCUAAAUCUAGUUGAAGCACAAAGAUAUGCGGCAUGUUCUUGCUUGAGGAUAAUGUUAAAGCAAUCAUUUUGAAUCAGUCUAGCAACGGUUUCAUCCACAAAUUAGAGUGUCAGGAAAGCAAUUUUAUAGCAUUAGCAUAAUUAUACAGUGUAUUAGCUGCAGAAUAGAAUAGCUACAGGUAGCGUUAAUCUAAAUCUAGUUGAAGCACAAAGAUAUGCGGCAUGUUCUUGCUUGAGGAUAAUGUUAAAGCAAUCAUUUUGAAUGUAUUAUGCAAUGUAUGUUGCAAUGUAUACAUAAAAUAUAUAAACAAAUUAUGUUCGAAACAGGGGCUAAAGCUGCAACCAAAUGUUAGAGAAAAAGAAAAAUUAUUAAUAUAUAUGGGAUUACGCAAAUAUCGAAAGUCAAUGUGUCACUUUCAAAGCACAUCCAAUAAAGGAUGAAAACAAUCAUCAGGAUGUACUUUGCGGAAGUGAUACUCCACCAAGAGAUGAACCUAUGCCGGGUGCACUAAGUUUUGCAACCGAGCUGACGGUUGUGCCACAGCCGUUCGAACAACAUAAUCAGGCCGAUAAUAAACUGGGCUACGAAAACAUCAUAA